rnacentral:rRNA from 1 species
UGGGGAAUAUUGCACAAUGGGCGCAAGCCUGAUGCAGCCAUGCUGCGUGUGUGAAGAAGGCCUUCGGGUUGUAAAGCACUUUCAGCGGGGAGGAAGGCGUUAAGGUUAAUAACCUUGGCGAUUGACGUUACCCGCAGAAGAAGCACCGGCUAACUCCGUGCCAGCAGCCGCGGUAAUACGGAGGGUGCAAGCGUUAAUCGGAAUUACUGGGCGUAAAGCGCACGAAGGCGGUCUGACAAGUCGGAUGGGAAAUCCCCGGGCUCAACCUGAGAACUGCAUUCAAAACGGGCAGGCUAGAGUCUUGUAGAGGGGGGUAGCAUUCCAGGUGUAGCGCUGAAGUGCGUAGAGAACUGGAAGACUACCGGUGGCGACAGCGGCCCCCUGAACAAAGACUGACGCUCAGGUGCGAAAGCGUGGGGAGCAAACAGG